rnacentral:pre_miRNA from 1 species
UUAACACGAAUUUGUAUGGAGUUGGAACAGCGCCCCUAGCGGGAAACGUAGGCAAACGUUCCAACUCCAUACAAAUUCGUGUUA